rnacentral:rRNA from 1 species
UACGUAGGGUGCAAGCGUUGUCCGGAAUUAUUGGGCGUAAAGAGCUCGUAGGCGGUCUGUCGCGUCUGCUGUGAAAACCCGGAGCUCAACUCCGGACCUGCAUCCGAAACUGCCCGACUAGAGGUAGGUAGGGGAGAUCGGAAUUCCUGGUGUAGCGGUGAAAUGCGCAGAUAUCAGGAGGAACACCGGUGGCGAAGGCGGAUCUCUGGGCCUUACCUGACGCUGAGGCGCGAAAGCUAGGGGAGCAAACAGG